CAAUUAACGUAUACGAAUUGACUGAAAAAUUCACUAAUAUAAUGGUUUAAUUACCUUCAUUCUCCAGUUCAAAAUAAGUACUUAUUGUGAACUGGAGAAUGAAGGAGGCUGGAGGUAAUUAAACCAUUAGUUUA